AGGCCUAACACAUGCAAGUCGAACGCUGUAGCAAUACAGAGUGGCAGACGGGUGAGUAACGCGUGGGAACGUGCCUUUCGGUUCGGAAUAACUCAGGGAAACUUGAGCUAAUACCGGAUACGCCCUUUGGGGGAAAGAUUUAUUGCCGAAAGAUCGGCCCGCGUCCGAUUAGCUAGUUGGUGUGGUAAUGGCGCACCAAGGCGACGAUCGGUAGCUGGUCUGAGAGGAUGAUCAGCCACACUGGGACUGAGACACGGCCCAGACUCCUACGGGAGGCAGCAGUGGGGAAUAUUGGACAAUGGGCGCAAGCCUGAUCCAGCCAUGCCGCGUGAGUGAUGAAGGCCCUAGGGUUGUAAAGCUCUUUCGCCAGGGACGAUAAUGACGGUACCUGGAUAAGAAGCCCCGGCUAACUUCGUGCCAGCAGCCGCGGUAAUACGAAGGGGGCUAGCGUUGUUCGGAAUCACUGGGCGUAAAGCGCACGUAGGCGGAUCUUUAAGUCAGGGGUGAAAUCCCGAGGCUCAACCUCGGAACUGCCUUUGAUACUGGAGGUCUCGAGUUCGGGAGAGGUGAGUGGAACUGCGAGUGUAGAGGUGAAAUUCGUAGAUAUUCGCAAGAACACCAGUGGCGAARGCGGCUCAC
rnacentral:rRNA from 1 species